UAUCUCUCCGUACGGGGAAGGAUGAGAAGCUUCGACCAAGGUUCGAUUCGAGCGCAGCGAGAAAGCGUUGCCGCAGGCAACGACCCGAAGGGCGAAGCGCGCAGCGCUGAGUAAUCCUUCCCCCACCACCA
rnacentral:sRNA from 2 species